AGAGGUAGUAGGUUGCAUAGUUUUAGGGCAGGGAUUUUGCCCACAAGGAGGUAACUAUACGACCUGCUGCCUUUCU